rnacentral:misc_RNA from 1 species
GAUGAAGAACGUAGCGAAAUGCGAUAAGUAAUGUGAAUUGCAGAAUUCAGUGAAUCAUCGAAUCUUUGAACGCACCUUGCGCUCCUUGGUAUUCCGAGGAGCAUGCCUGUUUGAGUGUCAUUAAUAUAUCAACCUUCUCUUUUUUGAGUUGUUUGGAUGUGGGGGUUUGCUGGCCUCUUAAAUGAUUCAGCUCCCCCGAAAUGCAUUAGCAGAACAACCUGUUCAUUGGCGUGAUAAUUAUCUAUGCUAUUGAAUGUGAGGGCAGUUCAGCUUUCUAACCGUCCUUGGACAAUUCAUCAUUAAUGUGACCUCAAAUCAGGUAGGACUACCCGCUGAACUUAAGCAUAUCAAUAAGCGGAGGA